CUCGUAGGCGGUUUGUCGCGUCGGGAGUGAAAUCUUCGGGCUUAACUCGGAGCUUGCUUUCGAUACGGGCAGACUUGAGGCAUUCAGGGGAGAACGGAAUUCCUGGUGUAGCGGUGAAAUGCGCAGAUAUCAGGAGGAACAUCGGUGGCGAAGGCGGUUCUCUGGGAAUGUUCUGACGCUGAGGAGCGAAAGUGUGGGGAGCGAACA
rnacentral:rRNA from 1 species